rnacentral:lncRNA from 1 species
AGACAGAUUCCAGGAAUCGUGAAGGGUUUUGUUUCUUUGGAGGGGGGAUCUGAGUUCCGAACAGGCUUUCUCUGAACCGAGGAUUCCAGGGGAUCUGGAACGGCUGAGACGGGAGGGACCCCCCCCUCGUCCCAGGCAGAGGGACCUGUUCUGCGCGUCUCCCCCCAACCCUGCCACCCCCUCGCUUCCUGUCCCUCCCCUAGGUGGUCAGCCGCGCAUUGCGCUCCAAGGAAAUGGUGCCCUUCCUGCGCUCCUUGCUGGAGCAACUGAGGACCGUGAACGCCGCCUGCGACCAGGCCGUCCUUUGGUGGUUCGAGGUGGCCGCCAGGGAGCGAGGGACUGAUCUGAAGGACAAGGUAAGGCCAGGUGUAUGAAGGCCCCUCUGCAGGCCAGGUAAGGAAAGACCACCGGCCAGGGAUCUGAAGGUGACGACCCCCAGCUUAGGCAAAGGCCACCAAGAGCGGAGAGGGGAGGAGGAAACCUGUUAAUGUUUCCAUGGGUUUGAUCCUCAGGUGGGGCUGAAGGAAGCAUCAGCCGCUUCGUUGGUCUCGGGAUUUUGUCGACAGGAGCAAACAGGAACAGAAAGGCUGAGCUUUCCUCUCUUCUCCCUCCCAGGUCCGGGGUUUGGUGGCGGUCCUUUGCUCCUCCCUGCAGUGGGCCGAGGACCCCUCCCUGUGGCGCUCCUUGGCCCAGGCCCUCUGCGUGUUGGCGGAGCACCACUCUCGAGGGGUCUGUGCCUCCCUGGUGGAGCAGCCCCUUCUCCAGCCCAGGGCAAGAAGGGAGCUCUGGGCCGCCAUCGUGACUCACCCGAGCUGCCGAGCCUCAGCCCUGAAGCAUUUGCUCCGCUGGGUGAUGUCGGACGGGAGCAGCGCCCCAAAUUGUGUUCUGGUGAGGCUUCUGCCCACGGGAGGCUCAUGAGUCUUGGGGGGGGGCGCCAAGGAGGGCCAGUGGCUCCCUCACUCCUUCCUUAGUGGAUUUCUCAGCCCUUGGCAAGGUCAGAGGUGGGGACGAUGGGUGCCGUUAUUCUUUCAUCCCAGCUGAAUUUUUUUCCCUCCCCUCCCCAAUUUUUUUAAAAGUUGUCAUUUCAUAAUUUAUUAUUUACUAACAAGAACACUCAGCUUUGCCCCCGGGUUGAAGGAGUCUUCAGUUUGGCGCUCCGAAGCCAUGAUAGAGUGACUGAAUUUUGGCCGUGCAAGCUACCGGCCUAUGGAACACAAACGGGCAUUUUAAAAGAAAUAACCCCAAGGAUGGGUGCUGAGUUUCACAGAUCUGGGCUUCAUGGCAGCAGACAGACAAGAGACAGGUCUGUCUCAUUCUUUUUUUUUUU